rnacentral:lncRNA from 1 species
UUCGGUUCUUGUAUAUCAUGCUUUAAUUCAUCGAUUAGCAUCUUGAAUGUAAUAUAAAUGUAGAAGCAUGCUGAAAUGAAUAUUUAUAUUAUACAUGUUGGACUUGAAAUUUGACUUAGGAGAAAACCUGCGUUUUUGACCCGUCAUAUGCUUAAACUACCAGAUUUAGCUCUAGGAGCCGUGGUUCGAUUGUAUCGUUGCAAUAUCAGUGCGAUGGAUACCUCGGGUAGUUUAAAAGGCAUUUACGCUCGUGCUGGGGUGCCGAGCUUAUUUUUCAGCAGAGUUUAGGCUUUUUCGGGUCGUUGGGUGCCGUUCGGGUUAGCGGUGGACCCAGAUUCUUGUUUUUGGUCACGGAUUGUGCCGAGGGCACGUGGGUUUGGUUUGUAGACCUGUUUUGACCCUGUUCACUUGACUUUGGCUAGUUGGAGCCUGUUUGAGCUCGACAGAGAUACGCUGCAUACUCGGUUGGGUAGCGCCCACGAGUGCCACUCCGGAAUCAGGCUUUGUGCUUUCGCGUUGGUGUCGCUCAUGCCAGUUGGACUUGCUCUCCACGAACCAGUUAGUGUGGAUAGAGUCUGAUAGUCGCAACGGGGCAGGGACGGGUGUAUUCACAGUCCCGGGGACGGGUAUGCCUACAGUCCCGAUUUGAUUGGGUCAGAUUUGACAUUUCCUACAGUUGGUUAGUGUAGAGCAUAAUAGUGUAGUGAUUGAUAGCGAUAGAGUGUACUUCCUACUUUUCCUACUAUUUUUGCUCAUUUCUGUAGACUUAGUGGGUGGACCGAUGUUGUUUUGGGCGGUACCCACUGAGGACUACUUGUUUUACAGUAGUUCUCACGCCCAGUUGUUACCCCGGUUUUGCAAAGCCUUCCUUUUCGGCUGCUGCUGUUGCUGAUCGGAUCUAGGCAAGGGCGUCGCGAGUUAGAGCCCUACCCGAGGAGCUGAGCUAGAGGCACCCCUACUGCAGGUAGAUGUUUUGGUUUGGGUUCAUGUACAUACAGACUUUUAACUCGCCAGCGCCAGUAGUUUUGUACUCUGGGAUUCAGUGUAUGUAUAUGGAACUCGGUUUCUUUUACUUUACUAGUUCUUCUAGCAGCUCUAUACUACUGUUUGUAGUAUUGUAUGUUUUACAGGUACAGUUGUCGCUUCGUAUACAGGGAAAAUUCCUUUGUAUACGGCGAAUUUGUCGGCGUGCCCGGGGAACGUGUAAUCCGGGGCGUGACAUCAGUUGAGUAAUUCGCUUGCUGUGACGAAGGAAUCAGUGAGCAUCCGGUCUUUAAGAAAGGCCGAUUGCGUAGAAGAGAUGAUGGGCGGCAAGGCGAGGGCUAGUCGGUUGGCUAGCACUUUGGAAAUGAUUUUCUGGAUGUUGUUGAUAAGGCUAAUAGGUCGGUAGUCGCUAGCAUUACGCGCUCCUUCUUUUUUUGGGAUGAGGCACACAAAAGAGUAAUUGAUAGGGCCGGAGGAAAGUCUGUUGUGUUGUAGGUCAAU